GCAAGUCGAGCGAUGAAAUCCUUCGGGAUGGAUUAGCGGCGGACGGGUGAGUAACACGUGGGUAACCUGCCUUGUAGAGGGGGAUAGCCUUCCGAAAGGAAGAUUAAUACCGCAUAACAUCUUUUUAUCGCAUGGUAGAAAGAUCAAAGGAGCAAUCCGCUACAAGAUGGACCCGCGGCGCAUUAGCUAGUUGGUGAGGUAACGGCUCACCAAGGCGACGAUGCGUAGCCGACCUGAGAGGGUGAUCGGCCACAUUGGAACUGAGACACGGUCCAGACUCCUACGGGAGGCAGCAGUGGGGAAUAUUGCGCAAUGGGGGGAAACCCUGACGCAGCAACGCCGCGUGAAUGAAGAAGGCCUUAGGGUUGUAAAGUUCUGUUUACGGGGACGAUAAUGACGGUACCCGUGGAGGAAGCCACGGCUAACUACGUGCCAGCCGCCGC
rnacentral:rRNA from 1 species